rnacentral:rRNA from 1 species
GUUCAGACUGCAGGCUGCAACUCGCCUGCACGAAGUCGGAAUUGCUAGUAAUCGUAGGUCAGCAUACUACGGUGAAUACGUUUCCGGGCCUUGUACACACCGCCCGUCAAACCAUGAGAGUUGGCAACACCCGAAGUCGGUAGUCUAACCGCAAGGAGGACGCCGCCGAAGGUGGGGUUGAUGAUUAGGGUUAAGUCGUAACAAGGUAAC